CUCUGCACCCUCAUAGACCCUUGUUUAUGCACAGAACAAGCAGAGCACAGGUGAGGGCUAGAGGCCGCGCGCGGCACGUAGGGGGUUGUUGAUGACGCCCGCUACUCCGGUGCAUGCUGGGGAUUGUAAUUCACGCCCGUGACGCCAGGCAGGCGCAGCCCUGGUGCAGUGCAUCCUGGGGAUUGUAGUUUACGCUUGCUACUAAGGGCGGUCGCAGUGCAUGCUGGGGAUUUAGUGCGCCCUGGCACCAUCUUGCUUGCAUUCUGGGUAGAGUCAUGGGGUUUGGGGCGGUGUCCUCAGUGCGCAGAGCGGCUUAAAUCAGAGGCUGAGCCCGGCGCUUCCAUAUCACGCUGUACUCUAGCUAAGGACUGGGAAGCAAGUCUAUCCAAGGCUCCUUCAUGUAACCACGCGGCAGUUGGCAGGCACUAGUCCUAGACAACUGAGUUCUCCCUGAAGAAGAGUUAAAGCAAAAUAAAAACUCACAAAAAGGAAAACAACACGAAUAAAAAGAACUAGCAUGGGACCUAAAGGACGUUGCUGAACAAGGAAAAGAGCCCAUCAGGUAGAAGACCCAGAGGAACACCAGGCCUCUAGAUCGAGAAUGCUUGUUAUUAGUAACUUAAAU
rnacentral:lncRNA from 10 species